UUGUGAAUAUUCUCACCGUUUUGAUUUAAGGACAAGCUAAACAUUCACUAUAUUAAGACCACUCGUGUGUCUCAGACCUGCCUCUUUUCCUAGGUCUGUUUUUUUUUUUCCCCCUGUGGUUUUCUUU
rnacentral:snoRNA from 1 species